AUGAGGAUUGCACCAACUCCCGUCAAUACAUUGGAUGCAAAAAAAAAAAAAAAAAAAAAAAGGCAGAUAGGAGGCAGGACUAAAUCACAGCUCCCACUCAGAGCAGUGGGAGGAGACUCACACUGUGAACUCUUGCUCCAAGAACUACUGCAGGAAUAUACCAGGAAAGCUGAGCAAAUCCACAGACCCUUUGAAGGAAGUGGAUUGCUCCUGCAGGACCCAGAAGACAGCCCAAAUACUAUGGAGUUUCGCUGUUGUUACCCAGACUGGAGUGCAAUGGCACUAUCUCGGCUCACUGCAAACUCCACCUCCUGGGUUCAAGAGAUUCUCCUUCCUCAGCCUCCCGAGUAGCUGGGACUACAGGCGUGCACCACCAUGCCCAGCUAAUUGUUGUAUUUUCAGUAGAGACGGGGUUUCAUAUUGUUGACCAGGAUGGUCUCGAUCUCUUGACCUCGUGAUCCACCCGCCUCGGCCUCCCAAAGUGCUGGGAUUAUAGGCGUGAGCCACAGCGCCCGGCCUCUUGCUAAUUUCUAAACAUCAUCACACUAUGAAAUAAGGUGAAGAAAAAAAAAAACACCCUAUUCAAUUUAAUCAAUAACAAAAUGAUGAGUUCAUUUUCUUUUUUUUUUUUUUUAUUGCAUUUUAGGUUUUGGGGUACAUGGGCAGAGCAUGCAAUACAGUUGCAUAGGUACACACAUGGCAGUGUGUUUUGUUUGCUUUCUCCCCUUCACCCACAUUUGGUAUUUCUCCCCGGCAAUCCCUCCCCCCCUCCCCCUCCCACUGGCCCUCCCCUUUCCCCCCUAUAGACACCACUGUUUAGUACUCCCCUCUCUGUGUCCAUGUGUUCUCAUUUUUCAUCACCCGCCUAUGAGUGAGAAAAUGCGGUGUUUCAUUUUCUGUUCUUGUGUCAGUUUGCUGAGAAUGAUGUUCUCCAGAUUCAUCCAUGUCCCUACAAACGACACAAACUCAUCAUUUCUGAUUGCUGCAUAAUAUUCCAUCGUGUAUAUGUGCCACAUUUUCCCAAUCCAGUCUAUCAUCGAUGGGCAUUUGGGUUGAUUCCAGGUCUUUGCUAUUGUAAACAGUGCUGCAAUGAACAUUCGUGUACAUGUGUCCUUGUAGUAGAACGAUUUAUAGUCCUUUGGAUAUAUACCCAGUAAUGGGAUUGCUGGGUCAAAUGGGAUUUCUAUUUCUAAGGCCUUGAGGAAUCGCCACACCGUCUUCCACAAUGGUUGGACUAAUUUACACUCCCACCAACAGUGUAAAAGUGUUCCUUUUUCUCCACAUCCUCUCCAGCAUCUGUUGUCUCCAGAUUUUUUAAUGAUCGCCAUUCUAACUGGCGUGAGAUGGUAUCUCAAUGUGGUUUUGAUUUGCAUCUCUCUGAUGACCAGUGACGAUGAGCAUUUUUUCAUAUGAUUGUUGGCUUCAUAUAUGUCUUCUUUCGUAAAGUGUCUGUUCAUAUCCUUUGCCCACUUUUGAAUGGGCUUGUUUGUUUUUUUCCUGUAAAUCUGUUAGAGUUCUUUGUAAAUUGUGGAUAUCAGCCCUUUGUCAGAUGGGUAAACUGCAAACAUUUUUUCCCAUUCUGUUGGUUGCCGAUUCACACUAGAGACUGUUUCUUUUGCUGUGCAGAAGCUGUGGAGUUUCAUUAGGUCCCAUUUGUCUAUUUUGGCUUUUGUUGCCAAUGCUUUUGGUGUUUUGUUCAUGAAGUCCUUGCCUACUCCUAUGUCCUGGAUGGUUUUGCCUAGAUUUCCUUCUAGGGUUUUUAUGGUGCCGGGUCUUAUGUUUAAGUCUUUAAUCCAUCUGGAGUUAAUUUUGGUGUAAGGUGUCAGGAAGGGGUCCAGUUUCUGCUUUCUACACAUGGCUAGCCAGUUUUCCCAGCACCAUUUGUUGAACAGGGAAUCCUUUCCCCAUUGCUUGUUUUUGUCAGGUUUAUCAAAGAUUGUAUGGUUGUAGCUAUGUUGUGUUGCCUCUGAUGCCUCUGUUCUGUUCCAUUGGUCUAUAUCUCUGUUUUGGUACCACUACCAUGCUGUUUUGAUUACUGUAGCCUUAUAGUAUAGUUUGAAAUCCGGUAGUGUGAUGCCCCCCGCUGUGUUCUUUUUGCUUAGAAUUGACUUGGCUAUGCAGGCUCUCUUUUGGUUCCAUAUGAAGUUCAUGGUGGUUUUUUCCAGUUCUGUAAAGAAAGUCAAUGGUAGCUUGAUGGGGAUAGCGUUGAUUCUGUAAAUUACUUUGGGCAGUAUAGCCAUUUUCACAAUAUUAAUUCUUCCUAACCAUGAACAUGGAAUGUUUCUCCAUCUGUUUGUGUCCUCUCUGAUUUCGUUGAGCA
ensembl:lncRNA